GGCAUUAUGGCCGAGCGGUCUAAGGCGCCAGACUCAAGGAUUUACCCUCCUUGCCCAGCAACGGGUAGCAUUCUGGUCUCGAAAGAGGCGUGAGUUCGAAUCUCACUGAUGUCA